rnacentral:rRNA from 1 species
CCUACGGGUGGCAGCAGUGAGGAAUAUUGGUCAAUGGGCGGAAGCCUGAACCAGCCAAGUAGCGUGCGGGAUGAAGGCCCUACGGGUUGUAAACCUCUUUUGCCCGGGGACAACAUCCUGCACGUGUGGAGGUCUGCAGGUACCCUGCGAAUAAGCAUCGGCUAAUUCCGUGCCAGCAGCCGCGGUAAUACGGAGGAUGCGAGCGUUAUCCGGAUUUAUUGGGUUUAAAGGGAGCGUAGGCGGGCGUUCAAGUCAGCGGUAAAAUCGCGGGGCUCAACCUCGCCGCGACGUUGAAACUGGGCGCCUUGAGUUGGCGAGAGGCAGGCGGAAUGCGUGGUGUAGCGGUGAAAUGCAUAGAUAUCACGAGGAACUCCGAUUGCGAAGGCAGCCUGCCGGGGUGCGACUGACGCUGAGGCACGAAGGUGUGGGUAUCGAACAGGAUUAGAUACCCUUGUAGUC